GAUGAACGCUGGCGGCGUGCCUAAUACAUGCAAGUCGAGCGAACAGACGAGGAGCUUGCUCCUCUGACGUUAGCGGCGGACGGGUGAGUAACACGUGGAUAACCUACCUAUAAGCCUGGGAUAACUUCGGGAAACCGGAGCUAAUACCGGAUAAUAUAUUAAACCGCAUGGUUCAAUAGUGAAAAACGGUUUUGCUGUAACUUAUAGAUGGAUCCGCGCCGCAUUAGCUAGUUGGUAAGGUAACGGCUUACCAAGGCGACGAUGCGUAGCCGACCUGAGAGGGUGAUCGGCCACACUGGAACUGAGACACGGUCCAGACUCCUACGGGAGGCAGCAGUAGGGAAUCUUCCGCAAUGGGCGAAAGCCUGACGGAGCAACGCCGCGUGAGUGAUGAAGGUCUUCGGAUCGUAAAACUCUGUUAUUAGGGAAGAACAAAUGUGUAAGUAACUAUGCACGUCUUGACGGUACCUAAUCAGAAAGCCACGGCUAACUACGUG
rnacentral:rRNA from 1 species